rfam:Clostridium puniceum strain DSM 2619 CLPTN_contig000098, whole genome shotgun sequence.
UCUGGUGAUGACGGCGUAGAGGUAACACUCCUCCCCAUUCCGAACAGGACAGUUAAGGUCUACAGCGCUGAUGGUACUGCACGGGUGACUGUGUGGAAGAGUAAGACGUUGCCAGGU